rnacentral:rRNA from 1 species
UACGUAGGGUGCAAGCGCUAAUCGGAAUUACUGGGCGUAAAGCGUGCGCAGGCGGCUUUGCAAGACAGAUGUGAAAUCCCCGGGCUUAACCUGGGAACUGCAUUUGUGACUGCAUGGCUGGAGUGCGGCAGAGGGGAUGGAAUUCCGCGUGUAGCAGUGAAAUGCGUAGAUAUGCGGAGGAACACCGAUGGCGAAGGCAAUCCCUGGGCCUGCACUGACGCUCAUGCACGAAAGCGUGGGGAGCAAACAGG